AGGAAACACGAUGCUCCUCCUCAUACUGUGCAUGCAGCAUUCUUUUCCUGAGCCCAGCAGGUUGUACCUUGACCUCAUUCUGGCCGUCCUGGCCCUGGAACUGCUCUGCUCCGUGACCUGUCUGCUCAUUUAUGCAGUGAAAAUUAGAAAAUUUAAUAGAGCCAAACCACAGCCUGAUGUACUUGAAGAAGAAAAAAUCUAUGCUUACCACAGCAAUAUUACCUCGGAAACGGGAUUAAGCCUGGGGAGGUGAACUCAGGAGGCUUGGAUCCUGAAGGAGGAGGAGAUCCCCUUACCCAUAACUGCUGCAAAUGCUGGUCCACCAAGUUCUGGAAAUGCAGAUGACCAGUACCAUUAUCUGCACCAGCCUUCUGAUGCCCCUGUGGCUGGUGCCCCGUGGUGCAUUUAUGAAGGGAGCCCCAGCCUUACAACAGAUGCAUCUUGGGGAUUCUGGUCCUCCUUGGGCCUCCAUUCCCUAUGGCAUAGAACUCSUGAAAAUUCACACCUUACCUAGAAAACAUGAUCCCACCAGCCCAGAUAGGUCUCUCUUCCCAGAAUGCGUUGACUGAGGGGGUGUGGCUGGCAUUGAUCUUCUUAGUACCUUCUGACCCAGUCAUGGCUCCUGACAAAAGUUUGUUACCCAAAUCCAGACGAGUGGACAGAUAGUUCCAAACACCUUUCAUGGAUGGGAUCCAACCUACCCAGAGCAGAGCUCCAGGAUUUGUACUUUUAUGUAAGAUAAGCUACCUUUUUUUUUAAAACGGGGGUGUACUGGGGAUAGAUAGUGGUAAAGCAUCCCU